rnacentral:rRNA from 1 species
UACGUAGGGCGCGAGCGUUGUCCGGAUUUAUUGGGCGUAAAGAGCUCGUAGGCGGCUUGUCGCGUCGACUGUGAAAUCCCGCGGCUCAACCCCGAGCCUGCAGUCGAUACGGGCAGACUAGAGUGCUGUAGGGGAGACUGGAAUUCCUGGUGUAGCGGUGAAAUGCGCAGAUAUCAGGAGGAACACCGGUGGCGAAGGCGGGUCUCUGGGCAGUAACUGACGCUGAGGAGCGAAAGCGUGGGGAGCGAACAGG